UCUAUUUCUCCCAAAUCUGAACCCAUUUUUGCCAUCUUUUGUUUCAUGGCAUCAAGUUGAGCCAUGAUGAUUCUACCAACAUCAUUACCAAGGGGUUGUGUACUUGAACCCGUGGGUUCCAUGCUCCUUGUACCUAACAAACAAUCAAAAACCUACAAAACAAACACACAAGUUAGUACAAAAGCCUCACCACACUCACACUCAGAUCUUACCUCUCACUUGGUUUCACAAGUGUUGAAAACUUGGCAAUACUUGGC
rnacentral:lncRNA from 1 species